rnacentral:lncRNA from 1 species
AGUGGACGUAGGAGCAAGGGUUAGCUCCGAACCACUAUAAAAUCAUUGUGUUUGUGAUUGCCUUGACGUCUUUACUUUCAUCUCACUCACUGCACAUAGCAUCUAAUUAAUCAACUUGCAAAAAGUAUUAAUUAGUGUCCACAAACAUUUUAAUUACAAUAAUUAUUUUAAAACCCAAUUCACCCCCCCUCUUGGGUUGUCUAUCUGGGCAACAAGUGGUAUCAGAGCC